rnacentral:misc_RNA from 1 species
GAUGAAGAACGCAGCGAAAUGCGAUAAGUAAUGUGAAUUGCAGAAUUCAGUGAAUCAUCGAAUCUUUGAACGCACAUUGCGCCCGCCAGUAUUCUGGCGGGCAUGCCUGUUCGAGCGUCAUUUCAACCAUCAAGCCCCCGGCUUGUGUUGGGGAUCUGCGGCUGCCGCAGGCCCUGAAAACCAGUGGCGGGCUCGCUAGUCACUCCGAGCGUAGUAAUACAUCUCGCUCAGGGCGUGCUGCGGGUUCCGGCCGUUAAAAAGCCUUAUUUACCCAAGGUUGACCUCGGAUCAGGUAGGAAGACCCGCUGAACUUAAGCAUAUCAAUAAGCGGAGGA